GGUCUGGUGGUGUAGUGGUAACACAUCUGCAAGAAAUUGAAUGGGUGCACUGGUGUCGGCAGGAGUCCCUUGUUCGAUUCAGGGUCGGGUCA